rnacentral:tRNA from 1 species
GCGCCCAUAGCUCAGCUGGAUAGAGCGUCCGGCUACGAACCGGGAGGUCGCAUGUUCGAAUCAUGCUGGGCGCACCA